GACGAACGCUGGCGGCGUGCUUAACACACGCAAGUCGAGCGGUAAGGCCCUUUCGGGGGUACACGAGCGGCGAACGGGUGAGUAACACGUGGGUGACCUGCCCUUAGCUCUGGGAUAAGCCUGGGAAACUGGGUCUAAUACCGGAUAUGACUCCAUAACGCAUGUUGUGGGGUGGAAAGCCUUGUGCGGCUAGGGAUGGGCCCGCGGCCUAUCAGCUUGUUGGUGGGGUGAUGGCCACCAAGGCGACGACGGUAGCCGGCCUGAGAGGGCGACCGGCCACACUGGGACUGAGACACGGCCCAGACUCCUACGGGAGGCAGCAGUGGGAAUCUUGCGCAAUGGGCGAAAGCCUGACGC
rnacentral:rRNA from 1 species